AAGUAGUAAGAUUAAAUGGGUUUAUUGCAUAAAAUGAGGUGAUGCAAUAUAUGGAUUAAGUGAGAUAUGGAAGGUUAGUAAAUAUGAGAAACUUGGAAAUGGUAUCCUUGUAAUUAAGUGCACAUGUGGUCCUUAUAAAUAUGACUAUUAAUAGUGAAAGAGACUCAAAAGUCAGACCUCUUCCUUUCUCUUCCUGACCUGGCGCUCCUUCUCUCUCUACCUCCAUGAGAGCUCAAAUUUUACUUCUUCAAAAUUCUUAUGAAUCAAGAGCUGCAUGUUACUCCAUAAGCUUCAGUGUACCCUUUUAACUCAAAAGAAUGAAUUUAUCCUUCAACCUCCUCCUCCAUCUUCAUUGUUAGAAAAACCCUUAUUCUCUAGAAAACACCAAUUCAUCCAAUUGCAUGUACAAAUCCUGGAGCAAAUCACCAAUCUGAAAGCAUCUUACAGGAAGGAAUUUGUGAAGAAAAGGUCAUGGGUGUUUGAGUAGAAGGUGAGAAAUCAAAGAUUAAAGGACUUGAAGUUGGUGGCAGCAGAAGCUGCGUUGUGGUUGUUGUUGCAGAGCAGUCUUGCUGCUGCAUGUUGUUGAUUCUCUCACUGUCAACCCCACUCUUGGUCAAUGGUAAGAAAACUCAAGCUCUUAUCCUUGUCUUUAGAAAUGUUCCAUUCCUUUAGUGUUAGAAAUUCUACUAAUCACACCUUUGGUAAUUGUAUGUGAUAUGUUUGGGGUAAGAGACUUGAUUAAAUGUUUGGAGCUUGGCUUUGAAGGAAAAGUGGAAGUUGUGAAGGUAAGGAAAAUAUUCUGCAUAAUUUUCGUAUGGACAUACUCUCAGUAAUUGGGUGAUACCUUUCAAACCGUAACUCCGUUUCGAAUGGUGUUUACAUGUAUGGAAAGCUGACGAAAUUCCCGUCGUCUAGAUGCCAAUUUCGUAGAAUUUCGAUGAAUAUUGAGGUCUGUAUACCAGUUUGAAGUUAAAGGUCUGAUAUGGAGAUUAUGCAGAAAAAUUAGGAUGCGGGUUUAAAGUACUUUGGCUGGAAAUUCUGCAUUUCGGCGAGCUCCGGAGAUGUCGGUGGUAUCCUUCAAGCGUCAACUCAGAUAAGCAGGUUGAUCGAGAUAUCUUGGUUUGCUAGCAUGAAGAUUCAGAUACGCGGAUUACGUUAUGGAGCUGACAUCAUGUUAAUCUUAUUAUUAUAUAAGAUUCAGUUUAUUUAAGUUCAAUAGUUAGCUCAAUCAUGUAUUCAUUUAGUGGAUUAUUGUAAUCCUAUUCAUGUAUUUGAUCUUUAUGUAAUGAUGAUUAAUGUUUCCCGAUUCAGUUAUGUUCACUUUUGUCGAUAUUCUAGAUAAAUUGACAUGGGGUGUUAUAAUUGGUAUCAGAGCAGGUCGAUUCAGUAUCGGACCUUGCCGCGGAUCAUUAAAGUUCAAUAAAAGUAGUACGGACCCUUUGGAGUCUGAACUGUUUACGCUGAAA